CGGAUAAUCUUUCUUACAUAUAUCCUGUGCUAAUGGGCAGCGUGGAUGGAAAUGACACCCAGAUGGAGGAUCCAAUGGAGAUGGAACGUCUCCGACAAUCUUGUUGAAUUCCUUCUGAGUAUCUCCAAUUUCCGGAACAGCGUCUAACAGCGUUUUUGUAUAUGGAUGUUUUGGAUUUUCAAAAAGCUCAUCAGUUGGUGCAUAUUCAACAAUCUUACCCAAAUACAUCACUGCAACAUAGUCUGAAAUGUAGUCAACAACACCUAAGUCAUGUGUGAUAAAGAGAAAAGCCAAGUUACGCUUUAUUUGAAUUUCUUCAAGCAGAUUCAAGAUCUGUGCCUGAACAGAAACA
rnacentral:rRNA from 1 species